CUUGAAUUUAUUAGGAAAGAUCAGAUACGACAAAGCCCGAAGAUAUAUUCUAAUUAAUCAUCUUUAAAAGGACAGUUGGAUUCCAUCACUGCUCCGCUCCUCGCCCUCACAUACAUACAUUUAGAUUUCACACUUUCCCUUCUGUUAUGGCACCCAACUCUCCUUGGUCUGCCAUGAAGGCGAGAGUCGAGGUAGAGGACCCAGAUCCAGUCAUCACUGGAUUCAACAACAAUGACCGUAGCUGCGAUGGUAUCAAUCAUGACAAGAACGAGAAGCCUGCCAGUUUAGAGCUCCGCCUAUGGUGGCCAUGCGAGACUAUGCAACAGGAGGGUACACCAGUCAUGGAGGAAGGCAAGCAGGCAACGAUGUCAGUGGGGAACAAGGUGAAGGUGCCAGAGAAUGGGAUGUCCAUCCAUCAACCAGUGAUCGUACCAAGAACCAGAAAGUAUUGGACCGACAGGGAACAUCUGUAAUUAAUUUUGCAUACUUCCUCAUUUAUCUUUCAAAUUCCUACACUCGCACUAAUUUAUGAAGAAUUGUCUAGGAAUUGACUUAUGAGAUUGGAUGAUUUUUAUCAUUGUACUUCUAAAUAUCAUAAUUCAGUGCUUUAGUUUCACAUUUAUGGGGAAGAUAAUUUUUUAGUCAACUUGUGUUCAUCCUUUUAUUUGUCCUACAAAGUUUAUAUUUAAAAAUGCUACUCUCUAAUGAUUCUAUAAUCUUUCACUAGAUUGUUCAGCUUCCCUUUAAAGUUAAUGGAAUUCGUCUUUUCCUAAAUGGAUAGUGCAUCAAUAGUUUUUCAUGCUAAAAUAUGUUAUAGUUGCAAGUAUAAACAUGAUAUGUCUAUUAGACAUCAGUAUGGUCGUAGUAAUUAUUCAGUGCUUACUCAUGUACACUCACUUGCUUUAAUGUAUUAAAUCGUAGAAUCAUAUAAUCAAACAGUUGUCAUUGACAUGGUUAGAGUGAGUGCACAUGGUUCUAUAUGAAAAUAUUUGUAUGUUUCACACCUCAGACUAUUUCAUUUACUAAUUUAGUUUUUAAGUAAAAAAUAUUAAUGUUUUGUGUCCACACAUAUCUACACACUAUGUUUAUUAGGUACAAGCUACCUCAACUAAUGAAUGAAUAGUGUGUAGCUCUUUCGAUAACCUAACUUAUUCAUCUCUGACAUGGUUAUGCAAGGCUCUUUCUCCAAGGAUUGGGUGUCUAUGGGCGUGGAAAAUGGAAGGAAAUAUCCAAGGACUUUGUCACCACCAAGACUCUUGUGCAGGUUUCAAGUCACGCACAAAAGUACUUCAGGAGGGUAAAGAAAGGAGAGCAGGAAAGGCAACGCUACAGCAUCAACGACCUAGAGCUCAAAAUUGUCAAACCAUGGACAAUCGGAAAUAACUCUAGUGCCUACCGAUCUCCCAUCUUUGAUGAUGCUGAUAACCAUAACCAAAGUUUCGACAUGUAAACUCAACAUUAAGCCAGGUCCUCAACCUGAAUAAUAUCGCUCAGUUCUAGUUACCAUUCUCAAGGACAUAGGCUCCAAAAAAUAGUAUCUUGUUGAACAAAACAUGUCUCGGUUACUAUAUUGGGAGAGUCGACCAUAUUGUGUGUUACUAUUUACUAUCUUUAUAUGAAUAUUGGAAUUAAUCUUUAUGUGGUAUCAAUACAAAUAUGCGUGUUUUUACUAUAA